rnacentral:rRNA from 1 species
GUGGGGAAUCUUGCGCAAUGGGCGCAAGCCUGAUCCAGCCAUGCCGCGUGCAGGAAGACGCAUCUAUGGUGUGUAAACUGCUUUUGUACGGGAAGAAACACUCCCUCGUGAGGGAGCUUGACGGUACCGUAAGAAUAAGGAUCGGCUAACUCCGUGCCAGCAGCCGCGGUAAUACGGAGGAUCCAAGCGUUAUCCGGAAUCAUUGGGUUUAAAGGGUCCGUAGGCGGUUUAAUAAGUCAGUGGUGAAAGCCCAUCGCUCAACGAUGGAACGGCCAUUGAUACUGUUAGACUUGAAUUACAAGGAAGUAACUAGAAUAUGUAGUGUAGCGGUGAAAUGCUUAGAUAUUACAUGGAAUACCAAUUGCGAAGGCAGGUUACUACUUGUGGAUUGACGCUGAUGGACGAAAGCGUGGGGAGCGGACAGGAUUAGAAACCCCGGUAGUCC